rnacentral:rRNA from 1 species
AUUGAACGCUAGCGGGAUGCUUUACACAUGCAAGUCGAACGGAGUGGCGGACGGGUGAGUAAUACAGCGGAACGUGCCCAGUAGCGGGGGAUAACUACUCGAAAGAGUGGCUAAUACCGCAUACGAUUGGAGCGGCCGCUAUCGGAUUAGCCAGUUGGUGGGGUAACGGGUCACCAAGGCAACGAUCCCUAGCUGGUUUGAGAGGACGACCAGCGAAACGGGGACGGAGGCACGGCGCAAGCUCCUACGAGGGGCAGCAGUGGGGAAUGUUGGACAAUGGGGGAAACCCUGAACCAGCCAUCCCGCGUGUAUGAUAAAGGCCUUCAGGUUGUAAGGUGCUUUUGGCAGAGAAGCGGUAUCUGCAAAAUAGGCACCGGCUAACUACAUGCCAGCAGCCGCGGUAAUAC